AAUCACAUAUUAGUAUUCUUCUCACAAUUCUUUAUGAUGGACCUUCUGCAUGUGAGUUCUUACAAAAUAAAUUUGUGUAUUCUACAAUCCAAGACAGGUAGGAACCCUUUAAGUCCAACCCUUCCCACUCCCAUCAGACAUGAAAAAAUUCCCCAGGUAUAUUACAAUAAGAGUUUAUUACACUAUUUUGGACUACAUUGAAUUCCAUUAUUAUUAUUAUUAUUAUUUUUUGUGAGCAGGGAAAGCUUUGGUUUCUCCAAUUGAGAGAUAUGCAGUUGUUCCUGAUGACAACGUCAAAAGGAUAAAUUUUGCCGAGGGGAAGAUCUGAUUCUAGAAGUAAGGAAUUUGGAGCUUGAUUUUUGAAAUAGGCUCAAAAUUGAGAUCUUGUUGGAAAUUUUUUAUUUUUUGUAAGAGCAUUUAAAUAUCCAAUGUGCUGAUUGGUGAAUUUUAGAUUUUAUUUUAUUAUUUUAUUUUUUU